GAUGAACGCUGGCGGCGUGCCUAAUACAUGCAAGUCGAGCGAACGGACGAGAAGCUUGCUUCUCUGAUGUUAGCGGCGGACGGGUGAGUAACACGUGGAUAACCUACCUAUAAGACUGGGAUAACUUCGGGAAACCGGAGCUAAUACCGGAUAAUAUUUUGAACCGCAUGGUUCAAAAGUGAAAGACGGUCUUGCUGUCACUUAUAGAUGGAUCCGCGCUGCAUUAGCUAGUUGGUAAGGUAACGGCUUACCAAGGCAACGAUGCAUAGCCGACCUGAGAGGGUGAACGGCCCACACGGAACCGGGGACCGGUCCCGGCUCCUUAGGGAGGGAGCCGGUGGGAAUCUUUCGGAGAGGGCCGAAGGCUGACCGAGGAAAGGCGGGGUGGGGAAGGAGGGUUUCCGGUCCGUAAACUCCGUUAAUAGGGAAAAAAAUAAGUUUAAGGAACUGGGGACAUCUUGGCGGUAACUAAACAAAAAGCCACGGCUAACUACGUG
rnacentral:rRNA from 1 species